rnacentral:rRNA from 1 species
CCUACGGGAGGCAGCAGUGAGGAAUAUUGGUCAAUGGGCGGGAGCCUGAACCAGCCAAGCCGCGUGAAGGAAGAAGGCGCCAGGCGUCGUAAACUUCUUUUGUCGGGGAACAAAGGGCGCCACGUGUGGCGUUGUGAGUGUACCCGAAGAAAAAGCAUCGGCUAACUCCGUGCCAGCAGCCGCGGUAAUACGGAGGAUGCGAGCGUUAUCCGGAUUUAUUGGGUUUAAUGGGUGCGUAGGGGGACCGGAAAGUCAGCGGGAAAAGCCCGGGGCUAAACCCCGGCGAGCCGUUGAAACUGUCGGACUAGAGAAGGCGAGAGGUAGGCGGAAUGCGUGGUGUAGCGGUGAAAUGCAUAGAUAUCACGCAGAACACCGAUUGCGAAGGCAGCAUACCGGCGCCCAACUGACGCUGAAGCACGAAAGCGUGGGUAUCGAACAGGAUUAGAUACCCUAGUAGUC